GAUGAACGCUAGCGGCAGGCUUAACACAUGCAAGUCGAGGGGUAACAUUGUGCUUGCACAGAUGACGACCGGCGCACGGGUGCGUAACGCGUAUAGAACUUACCUUUUACAGAGGGGAUAGCCUUUAGAAAUGAAGAUUAAUACCUCAUAGAAUUAAAUAAUCGCAUGAUUAUUUACUUAAAGAUUUAUCGGUAAAAGAUGGCUAUGCGUCCUAUUAGCUAGAUGGUAAGGUAACGGCUUACCAUGGCUAUGAUAGGUAGGGGUCCUGAGAGGGAGAUCCCCCACACUGGUACUGAGACACGGACCAG
rnacentral:rRNA from 1 species